UUUAUGGGGAGAUUGUCUUGUUUGGCGAACGUCUUACUCUCACUUCAGCGUCCGCCGAGAUAAAAUGUGGGCGCUGACUCUGUUGUACGCAGUGGUUCUUGGCACGUUGUUGAAUACCGCUGUGUAUGGUACCAAAACCAACUUUGGAGACCAUCCCUCGGCUCAAGGGUUCCGCCAUAAACCGUUAUCUACGGCACAGUACCUGGGACUUCAAAACUUAUUUAGUACUUACAACAAACGAAUGCCAUUCAGCAUGGACAGCCGCGCCUUCGACAUAGACAUGGACCGUUACAACAAAUUUAUGGAUUGGAGAACUCUGUUUGGAAAGAGAAGUUUUGCUGGUGCGGAUAAAAACGGAUUCCAAGACACGGAAAGUCCAUUUAAGGCAUAUUAUCAAAAUUGGCGUGAUGGUUUCUUGUCUCCGAAGAAGAACAACAGGAAGUAGAGCUGGCCUCUCUGUCUUUAAGUUAUUGAUUUGACAUCUGUCAGCUUCUGAUGGCUUUAUUGAAAUCUCUCCUCAUUUCGUUUUUGUUUUACAUCAAUGACAUCAACUCUAGUAAUGGCCUAUUGAGUUCUUUUAAAUUAAGUCACAAAGAACGGGAUUUUUUUCGAUAAAUCGUGACUUUAGAAACCUAUUUGGAAUACUAUGUUAAUGGACCUUUACAGUUUUUAAGUCGAUUUUUGAAUAAUUUUUAUGUGUGAAAAGUGCAUUAAAGUUUUAUUUUUUAAGUAUCGAUGCCGUCGCUAUGUUUAUGAAUCAUUAAUGUUAGGAACUGACUGUUUCUUCAGAGGCUCGCGGGCUACACCACUCACCUAACAUACUGUACAAUCUUUCUACAAGGCCUCAAAUUUAAGUCAAAUAUCAAAUACAAUAAUGAUUGCUUGCAAGCAACUUCACCAUAUUGUUCGGAAAAAUAAAUAUUUUUCUAUUCGGAA